rnacentral:rRNA from 1 species
UGGGGAAUAUUGGACAAUGGGCGCAAGCCUGAUCCAGCCAUGCCGCGUGUGUGAAGAAGGCCAUUUGGUUGUAAAGCACUUUAAGCGAGGAGGAGGCUACUUGGAUUAAUACUCUAGGAUAGUGGACGUUACUCGCAGAAUAAGCACCGGCUAACUCUGUGCCAGCAGCCGCGGUAAUACAGAGGGUGCGAGCGUUAAUCGGAUUUACUGGGCGUAAAGCGUGCGUAGGCGGCUUCUUAAGUCGGAUGUGAAAUCCCUGAGCUUAACUUAGGAAUUGCAUUCGAUACUGGGAAGCUAGAGUAUGGGAGAGGAUGGUAGAAUUCCAGGUGUAGCGGUGAAAUGCGUAGAGAUCUGGAGGAAUACCGAUGGCGAAGGCAGCCAUCUGGCCUAAUACUGACGCUGAGGUACGAAAGCAUGGGGAGCAAACAGG